rnacentral:rRNA from 1 species
UAAGACAGAGGGUGCAAACGUUGUUCGGAAUCACUGGGCAUAAAGCGCACGUAGGCGGUCUGCUAAGUCGGGUGUGAAAUCCCUCGGCUCAACCGAGGAAUUGCACCCGAUACUGGCAGGCUCGAGGGUGGUAGGGGUGAGUGGAACUCCAGGUGGAGCGGUGAAAUGCGUAGAUAUCUGGAGGAACACCGGUGGCGAAAGCGGCUCACUGGACCACAUCUGACGCUGAGGUGCGAAAGCUAGGGUAGCAAACGGGAUUAGAUACCCCGGUAGUCCUAGCCGUAAACGAUGGGCACUGGGCAGGGGGAGCUUCCUAUGGUUCUCUCUGCCGUAGCAAAUGUGUUAAGUGCCCCGCCUGGGGAGUACGCUCGCAAGGGUA